UACGUAGGGUGCAAGCGUUAAUCGGAAUUACUGGGCGUAAAGCGUGCGCAGGCGGUUUUGUAAGUCUGACGUGAAAUCCCCGGGCUUAACCUGGGAAUUGCGUUGGAGACUGCAAGGCUGGAGUCUGGCAGAGGGGGAUAGAAUUCCACGUGUAGCAGUGAAAUGCGUAGAGAUGUGGAGGAACACCGACGGCGAAGGCAGCCCCCUGGGUCAAGACUGACGCUCAUGCACGAAAGCGUGGGGAGCAAAC
rnacentral:rRNA from 2 species